rnacentral:siRNA from 1 species
AAGCCACGGAAGCCUCUUCCCAA